AACACCACAGCUGUGGGGCUGAGGUUAGGCUCACUUUACAUGGUGCAGAAAGGGAGCUUUCUGGAAAAGUGACUUGGAGAGGGGAAAGUAGGUGAUCGCACUGAAGAAGGGGUUUCACCAUGCAGCUCCAGUGUGGGACCCCCAGGUAGGAACCAGUGGGACGUGGCCCUUGGCACACCUCCACCUGUUCAGCUCCCAACUCGGUGCUCCAGUGGGAGGCCCACUGCUGCAGGUCCCCAGGACAGGGUCUGUGCUGUGCCAGACAUGGGAACAGAUACAGGGGCAGGAUGCAGCAGGCCUGGCGUCUCCGUACCGCCGAUGGUGGCCAUUCUGCUCCUAUGACAGGAAACUACGGCCUGGUUCAGUCAGUGCUCGCGAAAUGUCAUGUGACCCCUAUUUCUGUUCAAGGCAGGAGGACCGGUCAGUUUCCUCCUUCUGAUGUAACAGACUUAACACCCUGGGCUUCUACUGUCAACAUUUUACACUGGCUGCAGGAGCCGUGGACACAGCUCCGAUGGGUCUGGCGUGGGGCUGUGUCAGUUACUAGGAAUGUCUGAAUAUCUUCUUCCUCGACUCCAUCACCGUGAAGAUGGGACUAAUAGAUAAUCUCCUUGGUGGAGAAUCGUGAGAAGAAAGGACAGGUUUCCUGGCAUAGCAGGGUCAAAAGUGUAGACACAUGUUCACACACUCUCUGCACUGUUCCUAGGUGAGUCACCUAACCUCCCUGAGUCUGUUUCUUCACCUAUACAAUGGGGAUAAUAUUAAAUCUUCCACACAGGAUCAGCAUAAGGAUUAAGGUCAACGCUAGUGGGUGAGUCUGGGGCCUCCCCAGGCCCACCCCAUAGGACCACAGGCCAUCACCUUGCGAUAAUAACAGCUCAUGUUCAGACUUCCUGAGUUGAAUCUUCCCCUCACCCGUUUACCAAUAAGGACCAGACAGACACAGGCAAGUUAAAAAGACUGGUGAGGCAGGAUCUGAACCCAGACGUCCAGCCACGGAGCCGUAAGUUAAAAAGACCAGUGAGGCAGGAUGUGAACCCAGACGCCCAGCCACGGAGCCAUCCUGCUUCUUGAUGGCAUGUCUCUGGUGGCCCAUCAGUUAGCUGGGGUGAGGCUCUGGAAGGAGUGCCUCUGCCCCGGCCAAGCUGCACAGGGCAGUUCUGGGUGCUCCGCUUGUGUCCAGGUGGGAGGCUCCUCGUGGGGCGCCUGUGCUGAGCCUGUGCUUGCUGGCGUUGCGGACUCCAGGGCUAGGGAAGCUCAAGUGUCAGGCGCUGCACGAUGCCCUUCUUCUCCUGGCUCCCAAGUUCUGACCUGCACCUUUGGAGGAAGUAUUUCUGCUUCCCAGUGGGAGAAAACACAAGUUGCAUCUCUUUACAAAGUUAAUAGUUGCCAUUUGCUUUUUCCUUUCUCAUCUUCUGAAUUCAGACUUGUGUAUGAUUCGGAAGCUUGAAGCUGUGCAGGUGGAGCUGGUGACAACUCUGUGCUUUGGCUGUCAGUGUAGAAAUGGGAGCCGCCCUCUCUGCUUCAGUUAUGAGGCUGAAAUGAACAUUGAAGCCCCUGUCCCAAGUCAGCCCUUUCCUGGCCACGAGCCCCCACUCCCUGGAGCACUGGCUCCCUCUGGGCCCCGUGCUUAGGAGUGAGAGGUGGUGCUCAGGAGCCCCUCAGCACACCCUAUUUUAAAGUUAUAUCACCGCUUAGAAAUGAAAAUAAGACACUUUAACUUUUCUCUUGAAUUCUGAAAAUUUCAAACAUGCACUUAUUGCCAGCUGUGCGUGUACUUCAUAAAUUAGUUCAGGUCACAGACA